UACGGAGGGUGCAAGCGUUGCUCGGAAUCACUGGGCGUAAAGCGCACGUAGGCGGAUCUUUAAGUCAGGGGUGAAAUCCCAAGGCUCAACCUUGGAACUGCCUUUGAUACUGGGGAUCUCGAGUCCGGAAGAGGUUGGUGGAACUGCGAGUGUAGAGGUGAAAUUCGUAGAUAUUCGCAAGAACACCAGUGGCGAAGGCGGCCAACUGGUCCGGUACUGACGCUGAGGUGCGAAAGCGUGGGGAGCAAACAGG
rnacentral:rRNA from 1 species